GCUAUUAAGAACACAGAGCUCUCACUCAGAAGAGGUCAGAUCCCAGUGUGAAAAUCCUUGAUAGCAUGUUGUGAUCAAAAUGUGAAGUCAAACCGGAAAGGUUGCUGAGUGUAAUGCUAUAAUGAGAUGAUAACAGCACGGUGGCAAAACCUUUGUCUAGAGCAAAUGAGAAUGAGCCCAAAUGCAGCAGUCACAGAAACAAAGAUUUGAGAAAACUCUUCAAAGUGUGGAUGAGGGAGCAGUGCUCCAGAACUGGCAGUACCAGGUGAUGUGUAUUUUGGAAUGCCUUUUUAGCACAAGCCAAAUGAUGAAACCACUGAAACUCUGAACCAAACUGAUGACUUUUCAUUUCCCAAGGGCUUUCUGAGCCUGCCCCGAGACCCUUGGAAAUGGCACGGCUUAGGGACAUGACUUUUAGAAUUUAUUUUCAGUUUAAAAUUUCCAAACACUUUCGCAGUGCUCUUUGGGAAAAAAAAAUUCAGUUUUUACAGCUAUAUUGGUAGUGGGGAAAAAGGAGUGAAUAUUGGCAUAUAAAUAAUGUGUGGAUUACAACAAGGGUAAAUUCAAAUUGUUUUAAGUGUUUUUUCUUAUUUUCAACUCACUGUACUUUUGUCCUCUUUCCAGCUCAGCAGAACUUUUAGCCAGCUCAGAUGUUUCCUCAGAGACCCAUAAAAGUUCUACAGCCCAGAGCAAGCCCCAUAAAAUAACUAAAAUCUCCCAGUGUAAUAUUGUGUCUCCCUCCCACUCAGCAAUUAACUCUUCUUCCUCUCACUUACAUACAAGUCAGCUUCCCACACACUUAAUGCCAAGUUUCCUGCUACUCGUUUUUCACUCCAACCUCAGGAGAAGGGAAAGGGAUUUUUAACCAUCCUCUCUUUGGACUAUUCUGGGUCCUUUUCAUCUUUGGGUCUCUCUUAGGACAUCUGCAGUCUGAUACUGACUUGUCUUGAUUUUCUUGGCCAUAGGACACUCAAAUCUACAUCCUUUCAAGGACUUCUCAGAUAAGAACAUAUCUUACCCAACUUACGUGCUCUCUUCUCUCUGACUAUCACCUAUGCUGCUGAUUUAGAAAGAAGUAAGCACUGUGGUUCUUGAAAUCAAAAUCAAGGUGAAGGUCACGCCAUUCAUUUGGCAGCACUUUUACCUAGCUCCAGGAACACAAGGUAAUAGUGAAACUCCAUGGUCUCAGAUAACUCUCACACUUCCCUGUGAUCCAGCCCCAACCCUUUUCUAGCUCCCAUCCCUCCUUUGCUCUUGAUGGCAGACCUGCAACACUCCUCUUUGAACACACACAUUAAUCUUGGUAAUCUUUUUUUUUUUUUUUUUUUUUCCCUUUUUUUGUUCUGGAGGAUGAGGAAUGAC
ensembl:lncRNA